rnacentral:rRNA from 1 species
AACGAACGCUGGCGGCAUGCCUAACACAUGCAAGUCGAACGAGACCUUCGGGUCUAGUGGCGCACGGGUGCGUAACGCGGGGGAACCUGCCCUUAGGUUCGGAAUAACUCCCCGAAAGGGGUGCUAAUACCGGAUAAUGUCUUCGGACCAAAGAUUGAUCGCCUUUGGGUGGGCCGGCGUUGGAUUAGCUAGUUGGUAGGGUAAAAGCCUCCCAAGGCGACGAUGCAUAGCUGGUCUGAGAGGAUGAUCAGCCACACUGGGAGUGAGACACGGCCCAGACUCCUACGGGAGGCAGCAGUGGGGAAUAUUGGACAAUGGGCGAAAGCAUGAUCCAGCAAUGCCGCGUGAGUGAUGAAGGCCUUAGGGUUGUAAAGCUCUUUUACCCGGGAUGAUAAUGACAGUACCGGGAGAAUAAGCUCCGGCUAACUCCGUG